rnacentral:rRNA from 1 species
GACGAACGCUGGCGGCGUGCUUAACACAUGCAAGUCGAACGAAGUGGCGAACGGGUGAGUAACGCGUAAUCAACCUGCCCUUCUGCGGGGGACAACAGUUGGAAACGACUGCUAAUACCGCAUACUGAAGGAGGGGAUUGCGUCUGAUUAGCUAGUUGGAGGGGUAACGGCCCACCAAGGCGAUGAUCAGUAGCAGGUCUGAGAGGAUGAUCGGCAACAUUGGGACUGAGAGCCGGCCCAGAAUCCUACGGGAGGCAGGAGUGGGGAAUCUUCCGUAAUGGACGAAAGGCUGACGGAGCAACGCGGCGUGAGCGAUGACGGCCACCGGGUUGUAAAGAGCUGUUAAUCGGGACGCGGGACCGGAAGAGAAAGCCAAAGCUCAAUACGUGCCAGCAGCCGCGGUAAUUC